rnacentral:lncRNA from 1 species
UAAAUUGAUUUCCUCUGCGCUGUAAUGCUCAUGAAAUAUGAAGAGUCUUGGUCCAGGGCAUCUCCCCAUAGUACCUGGGGUGUUCUGAGCACACAGGGCACUCUCCACACAUAAGGUGGUGCCAACAGCUGCCGGACACAGGAGAGGCAGCCCAGGCUACUGCAGUCACAUGGUAAUGUCACGUGCCAUAAACACAUAAGAAAGCCAGGGGAUGCUCCCAGGAAGUUGCAGGGUAUCAGCCAGAGUCCCAGAAGGAAGAUGGCAUUCCCAAAGGGUUUAGCUGAAGGGAUUUUAAUGAGGGGAUGAUUUAUAGAGAGGUGGGCAGAUUUCACAGAACCACAAAAGAUGGUGAGAUACCCAGGAACCUCACCAUCCUGGGACUGUGUAUUCAUAGGUUUGUCACCAAAUUUUUGCUAAAACUCAAGGUGCAUAUUAUUGGGGUGCUAUUUGGCAUAGAAAACAUUUGUCCAGGAAAUUUUCUAAUAUCAUGUCAAGUUAAACAUAAUUCAUUGCAAAUAAGAGGUACAAGGCAUAGUAUAAUAGCAAGCUAGCACAAACAAAAUUUGUAGACUUGCUAAAACAUGGGAGAACAGCGUAGGCCAGAAUAACAGUGAUUAAGAGUUCAGGCUCUGGUGCUGGAGUCCCUGGGUUCAAAUCCUUACUAGCUAUGGGAUCAUAAGUGAAUUUACUCAUGUGUAAAAUAGAGGUAAUAUUACUUAUCCCAUAAAUUGUUAUGAGGAUUAAAGGAUUAAAUGCAAUAUUUGUAAGAUGCUUAGAACUUUACUGGCACAUAAAUACUAGCAUUAUCUACAAAAUUAUACUACCCUUCCUCCGUUCACUCAAUAAAUAUAUAGUCAGGAGCCACAUAACAAUGUUUCAGUGAAUGAGGGACCACAUAUACAAUGGUGAUUUCUUAAGAUUAUAGUAUCAUAUUUUUAUGUAUCUUUUCUAUGUUUAGAUGUGCUUAGAUACACAAAUACUACUAUGUUACAAUUGCCCACAUUAUUCAGUACAGUAACGUACUAUAGGUGUUUGUAGCCUAGGAACCAUAGGCUAGACCAGAUAGUCUAGGUGUGUAGCAGGCUACACCAUUUAGGUUUGUGUAAGUAUACUCUGAUGCUCUCAUUACGAAACUGCCUAACAAUGCAUUCUUUAGUAGGUAUCCCCGUUGUUAAGUCACACAUGACUGUGUAUUAAAUAUUUACUAUAGGCAUCAUCCUAGGCUCUGGGGAAAGUGGUAAGAAAAAAAAGACUACCUUUCCUGAUGGACUGGGAAGAAAACAUUAACUAAUAAUCACACACAGAAAUAAAAUCAAAACCAUGAGUGGUGGUGCUUGGAGCCAUAAGAGCUGGUAAUGACUAUACAGGGGUAGGCCUUCUUGAGGAAGUGACAUUUACCUAUGACCUAGAUGAGUUUACUAGGGAAAGUUCAUUAGGUAAAGAUGAGAGGGGGAAAAAUACCAGGCAGAGGAAGCACUAUGUCCUCUGUGGCAGAAAGGAUCAUGGCAGGCAUAUUAGUCAGGACCCAGCCAGGAAAGCAAAACCCACUCUAGGUGAUUUGAUAGAGGGAAUUUCAUACGGGGAGUCAGAGGAGUUGAAAGAGCUCCCAGGGGAACCCUGAGAGUAGCAACUCCAGGAAGCUGGGACUACUGUAUUUGUUUGCUAGGGCUGCAGUAACAAAGUGCCACAGACUGGGUGGCUUCACACAGAAAGUUAUUGUCUCAGAGUUCUGAAGGCUGGAAGUCCAAAAUCAAGGUGUCAGAAGGGGUAGUUCCUUUUGAGGCCUAUGAGGGAAGGAUCUGUUCCACGCCUCUUUCCUUGACUUGUAGAUGACCAUUUUCACCUAUGUCUCUUCACAUCGUCUUCCCUCUGUGUGUGUCUAUCUCUGUCCAAACUUCCCCUUUUUAUAAGGACAACAUUCAUAUUGGAUUAGGGUCCACCCUAAUGACCUCACUUUAAUUCGGCUACUCUAUAAAGACCACAACCCUAAAUAAGGUCACACUCUAAAGUACUGGGGGUUAGAACUUCAACACAUGAACUUGCAGGGGAGACACAAUUCAACCCAUAGCACCACCCUGGAAGCUGGAGAACAAGGAAAGAAACAGUUUCUGGAGCCUAAGACAAGAUAAGCUGGAACAAAGAGGGCCUGCCAAGAUGGGUAGCAGGGAUCACACAGAGAUGGCUGUGUAGUGGGAACUGCAGCCACAGAAGAGACUCCUGAGAAAGAGAAGCAGGAGAAGUACUCUGGCUUCUCCUUCCUUCACCUCCAAUAUCUUUUGCCCUCCCUCACUCCCCAUUGGCUGAACUUUACUGGAAGGCAGUUGGCUCUGGAGCCUGGAACAGCCCCCAGUGACACAGAGCAGAUCGGGGGACCACGGGAUGGGAAGGGUGGACAUGGCUCUGACAGCAACAAUGUAACACCCAUGCAACGAGUCUGCGAGGCCGAAUGGAAGCCAGCUGGCUGCAGGGGAGAGAGCAAGAGAGUCUGGCAGAAGGUGCACCUGGAGAAGGAAGUAGAGGCCAGGCCAGGAAACUACAGAGGCCCUUUGGUGCUCCCCAGCUCUCCUUGUUUUCCUGUUUCUAAGCAUCUGAGUGCAUCCUGAUAGCUGUGGACAGCAGAGAUUUGGAACAGGAGAUUGAAGAAGUCUCAUCUACUGCCAUGCUUGGCACAUAGUAGGCACUCAACACAUGCUAGACUCUCCCCACCUCCUGUUGCUUCUUGGCACCAGGCUUCACUCUGGACAAGAGUUAACAUCUCAUCCUUUACCCAUGUCUUCUUUGACUGAACAUCUCGCUAUUAGUGGGAGAUGGGUCAAAGAAGUAUUCACUCAUCCUUUCAUCCAACAAUACUGACAGAGCACCUGCCCUGUGCCAGGCUCAGCCAGAGGCUGGAGAUAAAGACAUGAAUGAGACCCCUGGUGACGGGUGAGAGACAAAGCAAAGGGCUCAUUUCCAUAGAGGAUGAUGGGGAUUCACAUAUGGGGUUGGGCAAGGCACACAAUAGAGCAGGGUGAUAUGGUUGGCUUUGUGUCCCCACCCAAAUCUCGUCUUGAAUUGUAGUUACCAUAAUCCCCAUGUGUCAUAGGAGGGACCUGGUGGGAGGUAAUUGAAUCAUGGAAAUGGUUUCCACCAUGCUGUUCUUGUGAUAGUGAGUGAGUUCUCAUGAGAGCUGAUGGUUUUAUAAGGGGCUUUUCCCCUCUUCACAUUGGACUACUCUCUCCUGCUGCCACGUGAAGAAGGCCAUGUUUGCUUCCCCUUCUGCCAUGACUAUAAGUUUCCUGAGGCCUCCCCAGCCAUGUGAAACUGUAAGUCAAUUAAAUCUUUUUUAAAUAAAUUACCCAUUCUUGGGUAUGUUCUUAUAGCAGCAUGAGAAUGAACUAAUACACAGGGUGACAUGAGAAGGCUUCCUGGGAGACAGUGCCUGAGCUGAUCUCUGAUGAGAAAGUAAGAGGAGGACAUUCCAGGUACAGGGAACAACAUGUGCAAACACACAAGGCUGAAGUAAACAAACAGGAAGCUGUGAAAAAGGACAGUGAUGAAUGACUAGCCCAACAGGGUAAUUUUGACCCCCAGGGUACAUUUGGCAACAACUGGAGACUUUUUGUUUGCUUUCCACAAUUGUGUGUGUGUGCAUGUAUGCACAUGUGUGUGCAAGUGUCUGCUACUGGCAUCUAAUAGGUAGAGGUCAGGGAUGCUGCCGAACAUCCUACAGUGCACAAGAUAGCCCCCCAUGACAAAGAAUUAUAUCUGGCCCAAGAUGUUGAGAAACCCUGGACUAGAACAACAAACAUAAAAACAUAUUAUAGUACUUUGACAAUUAAAACUUCAUAGUACUAGCACAUGAAUAGAUAGAGAGACCAAUGGAACAGUUUAAGAAUAUAAAUAUAUACAGGAAUUUAGCAUAUGAUAAAGGAAGCAUUCCAAAUUCAGUGAGAAUUCAAUAAGUGUUGUUGAGAUUCCUGGGUAGCCAUCUUGAAAAACAUUGAGCUGGAGCUAUACCUCACACCAUAUAUCAGAAUAAAUUCCACAUGGAUUAAACAUUUAAAGGUAAACAAUAAAACCACACAAGUACCAAGAGAAAAUGUGGGAGAAAUCUUUCAUAAUCUUAGAGUGGGAAAGUCUUUCCUAAUCCUGACUCACAAAUCAGGAACUAUAAAAUAGGAAAUUGAUUAAGUCAACUAAUAAAAGUUGAAAAAAACUUUUUAAGCUCUUGCAUGUGAAACAAACAAAAAUCAAACCUGUAUAUAAGCAAAGUCGAAAACAAAUGCAAAUCUGUAAAGGAUACACAAAACUCAGCAAAGGGCUAAUUUCUUUAAAUUAUAAAGAUACAUAAACCUCUAAAGAAAAGACCAAUGAAAAUACGAGCAAAGCAUGUGAAAAAGUGGCUUAUAGAACAAUAAUGAAAAUAAAUACAAAUGGCUAGUAAACAUAUGAAAAGAUGUUCAACCUCUUCAUGAUAAGAAAAAUGCAAAUUAAAAGUACUGACAUGCCUUGUUUUUUUUUGUUCAUUUCUCACAUUUGCAAAAACCCAAAUUUGAAAAUACGCAGACAUUUCCAUAUAUUGCUGGUGGGUAUGUCAACUAGUACAGCCCCUAGGAGGGCGAUUUAGCAAUAUUUACCAAAAUAGCAAAUGCAUAUAUCAUCUAACCCAGCAAUCUCACUUCUUAGAGCUUACUCCACAGAUACAUAUAUUUGCAUGCAUAUGAAGUGCUAUACAUACAAGGUUAUAAAUUGCAGCAAACGAUUAGAAACAAUUUAAAUGCUCGUUAAUAAGGAACUGGUUAAAUAAGUUAGAGGUUGGCAAACUACCAUCAGGGCCCAAAUCUGGCCUUCUUCCUGUUACUGUAGGACUUUCAAGGGAAAAAUCGUUUUAACAUGUUUAAAUGGUUGAAAAAAAUCAAAAGAGAAUUACAUUUUGUGACACAUGAACAUUAUAUAAAAUUCUAAAAUCAGAGUCCAUAAAUAAAGUUUUAUUGGAACACAGCCAUGCUCCUUUGUUUACACAUGGUCUCUGACUUCUUUUGCACCUUAACAGAGAACUGAGCAGUUUCCCAAGAGACUCGCUGUCCCACAAAUCCUAAAAUAUUUACUAUUUGGCCCUUUAUAGAAAAUUUUGCUGGAUUGGAGUAUAUCCAUGCAGUUGAAUACACGGCUACAAAAAAACAAUUUAAAAAACUCUGUAUGUAUUGCUACAGAAAGGUUUCCAGGCUAUAUUACUAAAUUUUAAACAAGCAGACAAGAAAAGUGUAAAUUGCAUGUUAUCAUUUGGAUUAAAAGGCGGGAUAUAUUUGUAUUUUAUUAUAAUAUGCAUAAAACUUAUCUGGAAGCAAAUACAAGAAAUUAGUAAGCAGUGACUGUCUCUGGGGGAAUGAGAUUGGUGAACUUGAAACAGAGGAAGAACAAAACUGUGUGUAUGAAGUAUAUUAAUAAUUAUUUUUAAAACUAUACAGUGGGUAGGAUUUACAUACAAUGAAAUAUUAUUUAGCCUUAAAAGAGAAGGAAAUUCUGACAUGAGUGAACCUUGAGGAUAUCAUGCUUAGCAAUGUCAAUCACAAAAGGACAAAUAUUUUAUGAUUCCACUUACAGGAGGCACCUGGAGUAGUGAAAUAAUAAAGACAGAAAGUAAAAUGGUAGUUAGUUUUCAGGGGUUGGGGAGAAAAAGGAAUGGAAAGUUAGUGGGUACAGAGCUUCAGUCGCGGAAAAAGUUCUGGAGAUGGAUGGUGGUGAUAGUUGUACAACAAUGUGAAUGCACUUACUGCCACAGAACUGUAUACUUAAAAAUGGCUAAAAUGGCCAAUUUUAUGUUAUUUAUAUUUUAUCACAAUAUUAAAAAUAUCUAGGCCAGGAAAAAAAUAAAAACACACAGUCGUAAAUAAGAGCACAGAUUCAUUUCGCUAAAAAGUUGUUCGGCCCGGCUUUGCGGGUGAUGAGGCUGGAGGUGUCUGCAUGGCCUGAUGAGAAAGCACUUGUAUUCUGGCCUAAGGAGUUUGCAUUUUGCAUGUCCUGAGGACAAUAAGGAGUAACAGGAUCCAUUUUGUUAAAAAACAAAAUUCUGGAAACAAGAAAAGAAUGGACAGAAGAGGCUUGGGUGGGCAGGGAAAGAAGAGGGAGAUCUAAACUCUGACUUUUUUUUUAUCUUCCCCAAAUUCCUACCUAAGGGGCCUCGGGAGUCACACCCUACAAACCAUACAGUCUCAUCAGAGGGUUUUUUGUUUGUUUGUUUUUGUUUUUUUGAGACAGAGUCUCGCUCUGUUGCCCAGGCUGGAGUGCAGUUCUGUGAUCUUGGCUCACUGCAACCUCCACCUCCCAGGUUCCAGCGAUUCUGUGCCUCAGCCUCCCAAGUAACUGGGAUUACAGGUGUGUGCCACCACACCUGGCUAAUUUUUGUAUUUUUAGUAGAGACAGGGUUUCACCAUGUUGGCCAGGCUGGUCUGGAACCCCUGACCUCAAGUGAUCCACCCACCUCAGCCUCCCAAAGUGCUGAGAUUACAGGCGUGAGCCACCGUGCACUGCGUAGAAGGAUUUUUAUUUAACCCCCCUAUAUAAGGUGGUCUGCUUUCCAACCUGGCUCUGGCAUAACAUCACAUAACAAAUAAGGAAGGAAAUAUAAAUAUUUAAACCCCAAAUAUAUUUUCUUGCCAUAUCUUGAAAUUGCCUGGCAAGGUUGUCUCUUGUGGGAAAAAUCUAUGGAGAAUCUAUAGAGAUUCUAUGGAGAUUUCCCUUCCCCUCCCCUCCUUUUUCCUCUUUCUUUCCAGACCCAGGAGAUACUCAACUAAGAGCCAGGUAACCUUUUAAGUGGGAUAAGAAACAUUUUACAACCUGCUCUCUCUGAAGUCUGCUGAAAGCUUCUUCAGAACAAUAAAACUUGGUCACCACCAUCCUUUAUCUUAACCUAAACAUUUCCUUUCUAUUG